rnacentral:lncRNA from 1 species
CACACUGUAUGUCCAUUAGGCCUCAGAAAAAUCACAGAAACAUGCUGAUACAUCAUGUUAAAGCAGAUCAAUAAUAUCCCAAUAAUCAAUUAAUCUAAAUCUGUUAUUACUGAUAUCGUGUGUGUGUGAUUAACAACCAUGCUAACCAAAGAAAAGCAAAAACCUGAAAGAUAAUAAAUUUCUUAGAAGGCAUCAUACAGUGUAAACUCGAGAACUCAUCAAAUAAACUUGAUUCGGCUGAAAUCAAACAAUUAGCAAAAUUCAAGGGUCAAAAUAGAAUACUUAUGCUUUAUUUUUUUUAUUAAUAACGGGGGCCUUUUGCAUUUUUCCCAUUUUUUUUUCAUGACUAUGCAUUGUCUUAUUCCCUUAGGCUUUUCAGUGUUACCUUAACGAGCUUUCGACCAAUGACUCCCAAGCCAUUAAGACCUUAGGGCGCUAGGUGUAGAGACAAUCCCCCCGGGCUUACUUACUCAAGUAACAAAGGCCACAAAACUAGACAAGCAUGCCACGGUGUUUUUUUUUUAAACUUAUAUAUUCCAAAUAUUUUUCCCCCAAACUUGAGCUUAUGUCUAAAUUCAGUCCUCACUAGUUAUUCAAAUUGUUCCUUCAUUUCACUAGCAUUCAUCCUUUAGAAGUCUAUUAUCUAUCCGUUUAAACCUUCUUAGCUAACAUGGUCAUUUUCAAAACGUGCUAUCCUGAUAAUAUCAGUGUCAAACAGAUAAAGAUGUAAAUCAUGUCAAGAAAAUCAUAUCACUAGCUUAACAAUCCUUACUAGAUUUGUUCAUGCAAUUUUAAUUUCAUCAUUGGCCCCUAACAUACGCAACUAAUGAACAGCUGGAUUUAACAUGCAAUCCUAAAUGCAACAGAAAAAUUAUCCACAACUAUUAACAAUCUACUAAUGCAAAAUAAAAAUU